rnacentral:lncRNA from 10 species
CUCUACUGAAGGCUACUCUUCUUAUCAAGUAACGUCUUCUCCAUGCUCUUGACCCUUGCCCCUUCAGACCUAUGGAUGGUAAUAACCUGCCCACACCUAGUUUACCAUCAGAGGACACAGCAGCAAGGUGCCAUCCUAGAAGCAGAGAGCAGACCCUUACCAGACAACCAACCAGCUGGUGCCAUGAUCUUGGACUUCUCGGCCUCCAGAACUGUGAGAAAUAAAUUUCUAUAUUCUAUAAAUUACCCAUUCUGUAGUGUCUUGUAAUAGUAGCACAAAUAGACUAAGACUGUAAGAAAAUGGAUUUGGGUCAAACAAGCAUUUGAGUGGCGCAUUAAAGAAUUCUCAAAUAAACCCGAUAUUUUUUGCCCAUAAAUAGUAGUACUUUACAUCUUAAGAUGCAUUUUA